rnacentral:lncRNA from 1 species
UAGUUUCUUCAAAGCCUUGCACCCACUGGACUUCUGUGGGGCCAUCCUUUCCUCCAGCUGAAGAGCAGACCCAUACCUUUACAUUUCGGUAGUUGUACUUGUGUGUCCGAGGACUUUUCAAGCAGGCCAAGAGGAGUGAGUGACCCUCCCAGUACCAACUUCUUGGCUGAUUUCAGAGACAAAAAGAAGUCAUGGAGCUCCUUGGGCAUCCCAGAGAUGAGCACGGGCCCUGGUUUCACUAUUGAAUGGUGGAGAUGUCCAUUUCUCCAAUGCUUUCUCUAGAGUCCUGUGCACUUCCAAGGAAGCUUCUCUCACAUCGUUGAUGCCCAUCAAGACUACCACUAUAUUGUUUUGUGAGCACUCAACACUAAAAAGCAACGGGAGGCUCACAGCAACUACUGCAGAGGCAGAUGAAGAUUUGAAGAAUUGGAGGCAUCUAGCCCAUACACUGUCUCAAACCAGAUGGCCGGGACCCAGAACUCCUUUUAUUUACUUAUGUUUUUCUGUUUAAAGAUCCAUAAUAAAUUACUUCCUAAGAGGUCAACGAUGAGUACAGAAAAGUGACAAACGAAGAAAACACUGUUUGGUGGCUGCUAACUGCAUGUGGCUAUUUAACUUUUAAUUAAAAUAUUUUUUAAAAUGUUAAUAAACUUAUAUCUUACCCUCUUGGUAAUACUAACCAUACUGCAUGUGGGAAAUCCCCCAAACACAGCUCAACUUCUCAAGGCUUCAUAAGAACUAAAACUAGCUUCUAUGAAGUUGGAAAAAGAUCUAAACCUUGCCUGAUUGCAAACACAAAAUGAGUAAUUCAUGAAAAUGAGUGGCAGUAAAUUCAGAAGGCAGAAACCAUACAAACUUAUCAGCAUAAGAAGAGGAAGAAGAGAAGGAAGAAGAGGAGGAUAUCAGGAAAUUCCUACAGAUAAUGAAGGGAUGUGGAGAGCCGUAAGUAAUCGCCAUUACAAGAUGGCGCUGGCUCCCGCUGUGCCUAGUAAACAAGCAUUGUGCGCAGAUUCGAGAGUGAAUUCACGCCAAGUCACUGCCCAUCUCGGGGCUUAGUAAUGAGGUGAUGGGCGAGCAACAAAUCAGGUGCUGACACGCCAUGCUGAGGGCUAUAUAAGCAGCACCAUUUUCUGGGUUCUGGCUCUUCCCUCCUGAAGAAGCAAUAAAGCUUUUGCUGCA